AUGAAAAGUUCUGCUGAUUAUCUUUAUCCAUUUUUUAUUGGGUUGUUAACAUUUUUUCUCAUUGAAUUAUGAGAGCUCUUUAUAUAUUAAGGAAACCAGACCAUUUGUAUGUCAUAUGUUUACACACUUUUAAAAAUAGUCACUUGCCAUGAUAUCUGCCAACGGUUUUCUUAAAAGUCAGUUUUCAGUGAAUUAUUAAAGAUAAUGGGAAAAUGGACUGACCACUGGAAAUUAUUGGUUUAUAUCCCAUAGUCCUCUGAGGAACUGGGGAUAUUUAACAGGGAAUGUUUCUCCUUUUGUCUGUAGUCAGACAUUGUCCUGACCAACCCCAAGGCUUUGUCUCUGAGACAAAAAUUGAAGAGAAUCCCAAAGCAAAAUGUUUGCCUCAAUUAUUUUGAUUCAUGAAAAAUGAUGUUAAAUAACUGUUAGAGUCUGUAAACAAGUCUGG
rnacentral:lncRNA from 1 species